GACGAACGCUGGCGGCGUGCCUAAUACGUGCAAGUAGAACGCUGAAGGAGGAGCUUGCUUCUCUGGAUGAGUUGCGAACGGGUGAGUAACGCGUAGGUAACCUGCCUGGUAGCGGGGGAUAACUAUUGGAAACGAUAGCUAAUACCGCAUAAUAGCAGUUGUUGCAUGAUAACUGUUUGAAAGGUGCAAUUGCACCACUACCAGAUGGACCUGCGUUGUAUUAGCUAGUUGGUGGGGUAACGGCUCACCAAGGCGACGAUACAUAGCCGACCUGAGAGGGUGAUCGGCCACACUGGGACUGAGACACGGCCCAGACUCCUACGGGAGGCAGCAGUAGGGAAUCUUCGGCAAUGGACGGAAGUCUGACCGAGCAACGCCGCGUGAGUGAAGAAGGGUUUCGGAUCGUAAAGCUCUGUUGUAAGAGAAGAACGAGUGUGAGAGUGGAAAGUUCACACUGUGACGGUAUCUUACCAGAAAGGGACGGCUAACUACGUG
rnacentral:rRNA from 1 species